rnacentral:rRNA from 1 species
AACGAAUGCUGGCGGCAGGCCUUACACAUGCAAGUCGAACGUGAAAGUCCUUCGGGAUGAGUAAAGUGGCGCACGGGUGAGUAACGCGUGGGAACAUACCCUUCAGUACGGGAUAACAGCGGGAAACUGCUGCUAAUACCGUAUAUUCCCUACGGGGGAAAGAUUUAUCGCUGAAGGAUUGGCCCGCGUUCGAUUAGCUAGUUGGUGAGGUAAUGGCUCACCAAGGCUACGAUCUAUAGCCUGUCUGAGAGGACGAUCGGCCACACUGGAACUGAGACACGGUCCAGACUCCCACGGGAGGCAGCAGUGGGGAAUAUUGGACAAUGGGCGAAAGCCUGAUCCAGCCAUGCCGCGUGAGUGAUGAAGGCCUUAGGGUUGUAAAGCUCUUUUGGCGGGGAAGAUAAUGACGGUACCCGCAGAAUAAGCCCCGGCUAACUUCGUGCCAGCCGCCGCCGUAA